UCGUCGACCUGUUGAGGACAGAUAAAGUGGAUGUGGCUGUCAAAGCCGCCCGCCGUCAGAAUGCGCCCCUCGCCGGCGAUAAUCUCUGUGCCUGGCCCGAUGAUCACAUCGACGCCCGUCUGGGUGUCGGGAUUGCCUGCCUUCCCGAUCUUCGUGAUCUGCCCGUCCCUCAGGCCAACAUCCGCUUUGUAGAUACCCGUGUGAUCCACAAUCAACGCAUUGGUAAUAACGGUAUCCAUGGCCCCGCCUGCACGCGUGACUUGCGACUGCCCCAUCCCGUCGCGG
rnacentral:sRNA from 1 species